GUUUAUCGUUUAUUGCCAUAGUAACUGUUCUACAUGACUUUUACACAUAUUUUUAUAUGGCUUAUAUGCACAAAUAUAUUUGUUUUUUCAACAUUCUCUUUCUCCUAAUAACUUUUCCCUUCCAUCAACAGCAGAUAUCAUUGUUUGAGAAUCUAAUUCUACAAUCAAACUAAACAGAAGACAGUGUCCAAUAGCAAUUAUAAAGACUCCAAAUAAAGACAUGAUCUGAGUAAAAAGUUGAUGAUGUUAAAAAAGAUAUUACAGUAACACAAACAUCCAUCUUUUGAAUGGAACAAGACACACAGUUAUGAUUAAGGAUUGCAUGGUGCCCAAAUUUAGCUUCUUCAGACUACAGAUAAUUUUUCCUAGAAUGAAGAAAUGGAGAGAUGGAUUUGGGUGCAGUGUCAAGAAUGGAUUGGUCUGGUAUACAGAUGAUUCCAAAAUCACUACUGAUGUAAGAGCAGAAGUUUACUGUAAGAGAAUGAUAUGUCAUAUUCUUAUUCUCUUGGACAGUUU
rnacentral:lncRNA from 1 species